UUUUAGCUAACAUUACUGCUGAAACUGGAUGAUAAACUGAACAGACAUCUAAGCUGUGACAUGUUACCCAAUGAAUCUGGUCAAGAGCUGGCUGAAGAGUUGGUGCAACUGUGCUUUAUCAGUGAGGUGG